CCUACGGGAGGCAGCAGUAGGGAAUAUUGCUCAAUGGGGGAAACCCUGAAGCAGCAACGCCGCGUGGAGGAUGAAGGCUUUAGGAUUGUAAACUUCUUUUGUUAGAGAAGAUUAUGACGGUAUCUAACGAAUAAGAACCAGCUAACUCUGCGUCAGCACCCGCGGUAAUACGGAGGGUGCAAGCGCUACUCGGAUUCAUUGGGCGUAAAGAGUGCGUAGGCGGGGUAAUAAGUCAGAUGUGUAAUCCUGGAGCGUAACUCCAGGACUGCAUUUGAAACUGUUACUCUGGAGUGUGGGAGAGGUAGAUGGAAUUCUUGGUGUAGCGGUGAAAUGCGUAGAGAUCAAGAGGAACACGAGUGGCGAAGGCGGGCUGCUGGAAAGUAACUGACGCUGAGGCACGAAAGCGUGGGGAGCAAACAGGAUUAGAUACCCGUGUAGUC
rnacentral:rRNA from 1 species